UACCAGACUCCUACGGGAGGCAGCAGUGAGGAAUAUUGGUCAAUGGGCGGGAGCCUGAACCAGCCAAGCCGCGUGAGGGAAGAAGGUACAGCGUAUCGUAAACCUCUUUUGUCAGGGAACAAAGGCGGGGACUAGUCCCCGGAUGAGGGUACCUGAAGAAAAAGCAUCGGCUAACUCCGUGCCAGCAGCCGCGGUAAUACAUAGGGAGCAAGCGUUAUCCGGAUUUAUUGGGUGUAAAGGGUGCGUAGACGGGAAAUUAAGUUAGUUGUGAAAUCCCUCGGCUUAACUGAGGAACUGCAACUAAAACUGAUUUUCUUGAGUACUGGAGAGGAAAGUGGAAUUCCUAGUGUAGCGGUGAAAUGCGUAGAUAUUAGGAGGAACACCAGUGGCGAAGGCGACUUUCUGGACAGUAACUGACGUUGAGGCACGAAAGUGUGGGGAGCAAACAGGAUUAGAUACCCCUGUAC
rnacentral:rRNA from 1 species